rnacentral:lncRNA from 1 species
CUGGGGUAAUAAUUUUAAUAUACAGUUUGAAUUUAAGGCAAAAAAAAAAGUUACAAGGGAUGUGAUAGUUAAUUUUAUGUUUCAACUUGGAGGGUGUUUUGGAUGAGAUGAACAUUUAAAUCAGUAAACUUUGGGUGGGGCAGAUUGCCCUCCAUAAUGUGGGUGAACCUCAUCUAAUCAGUUGCAGGCCUGGAUAGAACAAAAAGACCAGUCUUUCCAAGCGAGAGGAAAUUCUCUGCCUGCUGGACUUUAUCUGAUCCCCUAGCUAUAGACUUCUGGCCUAUACAGUAGAUUUGGACUUGACGGUCUCCAUAAUUGCAUGAGCCAAUUCCUUAUAAUACAUCUCUUUCUAUGUAUAUGCACAUCCAAUUGGUUCUGUUUUCAUGGAGAGCAGUAAUACAAGGAAUAAAGUGGGUUACUGCAUAUUGGUAAAAAAAAAUAGAUCAAGAAAAUAUAUUAUAAACAUAUGUGCCACUAAUGAUGGAAGAAAUAUGCACUAAACAACAUUGUAUUAGUCCAGUUGUGUUGCUAUAAAGAAAUACCUGAGGCUGGGUAAUUUAUAAAGAGAAGAGGUUUAACUAGCUUGUGGUUCUUUAGGUUGUACAUAAAGCAUAGUGCUAGCAUUUGCUUUUGGUGAGGGCCUCAGGAAGCUUACAAUCAUGGCAGAAGGUGAAGGGGAACCAGUGUGUUGCACGGUGAGAGAAGGAGCAAGUAAGAGAGGGAGGAAGUGCCAGGCUCUUUUAAACAAUCAGAUCUCAUGUGAACUUACAGAGUGAGAACUCAUUCAUUACUGCGAGGACAGAACCAAACCAUUAAUGAGGGAUUCACCCCCAUAACCCAAACACCUCCCACCAGGUUCUACCUCCAACAUCGGGGAUUACAUUUCAACAUGAGAUGUGGAAGGGACAAACAUCCAAAUUAUAUCAAAUAUACAUUCAAAGUACAGGGAGCAGGACCAGUAGACUACUGGAGAAAAUUUUUUUAAAUCAACAAUAAUACAUGGUAAUAUCUAACACGACACCUUUAAAAUUUUUUGAUAAGGCAGAUACAAAAUAAGACACAAAAUGUACAAGAUUAAUACAUUUCAUCUUCUAUUGUUCUAUAUGUUGAACUUUGCAUGCCUGAAAAGCUAAUUUUUUUUUUUUUUAAAGAGACAGUAUCUUGCUCUGUGACCCAGGCUGGGGUGCAGUGGCACAGUCACAGUGUGCAGCCUCAAUUUCCUGGGCUCAAGCAAUCCUCCCACCUCAGCCUCCUAAGUAGCUAGGACUACAGGUUACGCCACCAUGCCCAGAAAAUUUUUGUUUUUUUUUUUGGUAGAAAUGGGGUUUGCCAUGUUGUCUAGGCUGGUCUUAAACUCCUGGGCUCAAGUGAUUCAACCACCUUGGCCUCCCAAAGUGCCAAGAUUACAGGUGUAAUCUCACUGUGCUCACACCUGUAAUCAAUAAUUAUAAAUGCAUAAUCAAUUAAUAUAAAUGCAUAACAUAAAUCCAUAAUAUAAACUCAUAAUCAAUUAAUAUAAAUGUUACAGAAGAGCCUCUAUAAACUCCAAAUAAUUAGCAUCACAACAGAGUAUGUUGUCUGACAACAAAACACUAGAAUAGUUGGCCGGGCGCGGUGGCUCACGC